GACGAACCGUGCGAACGUUGUUCGGAAUCACUGGGCUUAAAGGGCGCGUAGGCGGUCCAUCCAGUCGGGGGUGAAAUCUUGCAGCUUAACUGCAAAAGUGCCUUCGAUACUGAUGGACUCGAGGGAGGUAGGGGCAGGUGGAACUUCCAGUGGAGCGGUGAAAUGUGUUGAUAUUGGAAGGAACGCCGGUGGCGAAAGCGACCUGCUGGAUCUCUUCUGACGCUGAGGCGCGAAAGCUAGGGGAGCAAACGGGAUUAGAUACCCCGGUAGUCCUAGCCCUAAACGAUGAGUACUGAGUAGUGGACUUACAUGGGUUCACUGCUGAAGCAAAAGUGGUAAGUACUCCGCCUGGGGAGUAUGGUCGCAAGGCUGAA
rnacentral:rRNA from 1 species